rnacentral:rRNA from 1 species
GAUGAACGCUAGCGGGAGGCCUAACACAUGCAAGCCGAGCGGUAUUGCUCUUCGGAACAGAGAGAGCGGCGCACGGGUGCGGAACACGUGUGCAACCUGCCUUUAUCUGGGGGAUAGCCUUUCGAAAGGAAGAUUAAUACCCCAUAAUAUAUUGAUUGGCAUCACUUGAUAUUGAAAACUCCGGUGGAUAGAGAUGGGCACGCGCAAGAUUAGAUAGUUUGUGAGGUAACGGCUCACCAAGUCAAUGAUCUUUAGGGGGCCUGAGAGGGUGAUCCCCCACACUGGUGCUGAGGCAAGGACCAGACGCCUACGGGAGGCAGCAGUGUGGUACAUGAGACAAGGGGUUAGAGCCUGAUACAGCCAGCCCGAGUGAGAGACGACUGCCCUGUGGGUUGUAAACUGCUUUUGUAGAGGGAUAAACCUAUUCUAGUGCGAGUAGCUGAAGGUACUAUACGAAUAAGCACCGGCUAACUACGUG